GACGAACGCUGGCGGCGUGCUUAACACAUGCAAGUCGAACGGAAAGGCCCCUUUGGGGGUACUCGAGUGGCGAACGGGUGAGUAACACGUGAGUAACCUGCCCUUGACUUCGGGAUAACUUCAGGAAACUGGGGCUAAUACCGGAUAGGAAUCCUUGCUGCAUGGUGGGGGUUGGAAAGCUUCGGCGGUUUUGGAUGGACUCGCGGCUUAUCAGCUUGUUGGUGGGGUAGUGGCUUACCAAGGCUUUGACGGGUAGCCGGCCUGAGAGGGCGACCGGCCACAGUGGGACUGAGAUACGGCCCAGACGCCUACGGGAGGCAGCAGUGGGGAAUAUUGCACAAGGGGCGGAAGCCUGAUGCAGCAACGCCGCGUGCGGGAUGACGGCCUUCGGGUUGUAAACCGCUUUCAGCAGGGGCGAAGCUUGUGGUGACGGUACCUGCAGAAGAAGCACCGGCUAACUACGUG
rnacentral:rRNA from 1 species